CUCCCCUGCUCCCUAUCACAGUCUCUCCCUUUCCUCCCCGUCGCGGCGACUCCUCUGCUCCCCACCACUGCCACCUGUGUUAUCCACGACCCUCCUCUCCCUCUACACCUUCUCCACUGAAUCAAUUGAUGCCACUAUAAUCUUUGUGCAGUAGAAACGGAUGGAUUCAUGUCAAGAACAGAAACGUCUGGCUUUACUACUACCUUCUCAUUUGCGGGUAAUUGACGCAGUUGAUCUCCGCUUAAAGCAGUGGACCGACUCUGUUCCUGUCAUCUCCUGCCCACGUCUCUGCUCCGAAGUUCGUCAGGUUACGCCCUCCGACAAUCAUCGCCAUUGAUGCGACGAAUUUGAGUUCUCGGAAUGUCAUCGCUGCAUCCCUAGCCAUCGUCUCCCUUCUCCCUACAGAUUCCCUUUUGUUUGGUAGAACCUGAAUUCACGAUUCUGGUAAGAAUUCUACACAAAGGAUCAAGAAACAUCGAUUCGUCAUUCAUUUGGGGAAAAUAGGAAUCAAGAAUAAAAUGUUGUUCUGCUAAGACGAUCCUUAGUGGCAGUUUGAGAAAGAGCCACACUUCUUGCUGACGUUUGUUUGCAUUUAAGAAAGGUGCUAGAUGUGCUUCAGGUUUUAGUGUGUGUGUUUCUAUAUCUAAGUGAUACCAGUGUUUUACUACUAACCAUGAUUUUAAGGCAUAUCAAUGUGCUUCAGGUUUUCCCCAAACAUAAGUUUCCUCAAAAAUGUUUUGUUAUUCGAACAAAUAUUUGAAGAAAUGUUCAGUUAUGCUAUUGCUACUUUU